GCUCGAAAGUGUGGGUAUCAAACAGGAUUAGAUACCCUGGUAGUCCACACGGUAAACGAUGGAUACUCGCUGUUGGCGAUAUACUGUCAGCGGCCAAGCGAAAGCAUUAAGUAUCCCACCUGGGGAGUACGCCGGCAACGGUGAAACUCAAAGGAAUUGACGGGGGCCCGCACAAGCGGAGGAACAUGUGGUUUAAUUCGAUGAUACGCGAGGAACCUUACCCGGGCUUAAAUUGCAGACGAAUUACGAGGAAACUUGUAAGCCGCAAGGCGUCUGUGAAGGUGCUGCAUGGUUGUCGUCAGCUCGUGCCGUGAGGUGUCGGCUUAAGUGCCAUAACGAGCGCAACCCUCGUGGUCAGUUACUAACAGGUUAAGCUGAGGACUCUGGCCAGACUGCCAUCGUAAGAUGUGAGGAAGGUGGGGAUGACGUCAAAUCAGCACGGCCCUUACGUCCGGGGCUACACACGUGUUACAAUGGGAGGUACAGAAGGCCGCUACCCGGCAACGGGAUGCCAAUCCCCAAAACCUCUCUCAGUUCGGACUGGAGUCUGCAACCCGACUCCACGAAGCUGGAUUCGCUAGUAAUCGCGCAUCAGCCACGGCGCGGUGAAUACGUUCCCGGGCCUUGUACACACCGCCCGUCAAGCCAUGAAAGCCGGGGGUACCUGAAGUGCGUAACCGCAAGGAGCGCCCUAGGGUAAAACCGGUAAUUGGGGCUAAGUCGUAACAAGGUAGCCGUACCGGAAGGUGCGGCUG
rnacentral:rRNA from 1 species